AAGACAGGAGUGUUUAUGUUUGGGUUGAGACACAUUGAGGAGCUGAGUGAUUGACAGCAAGGGGAGCAAGGCAUGAGGUUAAUAAUUAUCAAACAUAUGGCAAUGCUGGACUUUAGCUGAUCACCGUGCUUCUGGAAAAUAACGAAAGUUAAGACAUCUGUUCACCAUUUUGUGUGUCCAAGGACCACCUACAUUUUACAUAUGACAAGAACUACCCACCUCCACUCUUCAGGAUAGAACAUGCUGAAGAAAAAAGUUACAACGAGAAAAUAUAUGGGAACAAAAUGCCUACGCAGUGCAGAAGUCUGAAUAACUAAACCACUCAGAGUAGAGGAAAAAAAUUGCCAUUUCAGGACACCUCCUAUAUCUGAGGAAACAUACAUUGGUCUUGCAGUAUUUUUCUCCUCCAAAUAAAACUCAGUAUGAUCACAA